AAUCAACGCUGGCGGCGUGCCUAACACAUGCAAGUCGAACGCGAAAAGGGCUUCGGCUCUUAGUAGAGUGGCAAACGGGUGAGUAACACGUGGGUGACCUACCUUCGAAUGGGGGAGUAACGUCCCGAACGGGAACGGCUAAUACCGCAUAACAUCCUGCCUUUGUAACAGGUGGGAGAUCAAAGACCGGGGAGUCGCAAGACCUGGCGGUUUGAAGAGGA
rnacentral:rRNA from 1 species